UUCUUGGAGAGUUUGAUCCUGGCUCAGGACGAACGCUGGCGGCGUGCCUAAUACAUGCAAGUCGAGCGGACCUUAGCGAUCUUCGGAUCGCUC
rnacentral:rRNA from 1 species